AUUGAACGCUGGCGGCAGGCCUAACACAUGCAAGUCGAGCGGAUGACGGGAGCUUGCUCCUUGAUUCAGCGGCGGACGGGUGAGUAAUGCCUAGGAAUCUGCCUGGUAGUGGGGGACAACGUUUCGAAAGGAACGCUAAUACCGCAUACGUCCUACGGGAGAAAGCAGGGGACCUUCGGGCCUUGCGCUAUCAGAUGAGCCUAGGUCGGAUUAGCUAGUUGGUGGGGUAAUGGCUCACCAAGGCGACGAUCCGUAACUGGUCUGAGAGGAUGAUCAGUCACACUGGACCUGAGACACGGUCCAGACUCCUACGGGAGGCAGCAGUGGGGAAUAUUGGACAAUGGGCGAAAGCCUGAUCCAGCCAUGCCGCGUGUGUGAAGAAGGUCUUCGGAUUGUAAAGCACUUUAAGUUGGGAGGAAGGGCGGUAAGUUAAUACCUUGCUGUUUUGACGUUACCGACAGAAUAAGCACCGGCUAACUCUGUGCCAGCCGCCGCAGUAACAC
rnacentral:rRNA from 1 species